AGGACGAACGCUGGCGGCGUGCUUAACACAUGCAAGUCGAACGGAAAGGCCCGCUUGCGGGUACUCGAGUGGCGAACGGGUGAGUAACACGUGGGCAACCUGCCCUCAGCUCUGGGAUAACUCCGGGAAACCGGUGCUAAUACUGGAUAUCGACUUCUGCCUCGCAUGGGGUGUUGUUGAAAGUUUUUCGGCUGGGGAUGGGCCCGCGGCCUAUCAGCUUGUUGGUGGGGUGAUGGCCUACCAAGGCGACGACGGGUAGCCGGCCUGAGAGGGCGACCGGCCACACUGGGACUGAGACACGGCCCAGACUCCUACGGGAGGCAGCAGUUAGGAAUUUUCGGCAAUGGACGAAAGUCUGACCGAGCGACGCCGCGUGGAGGAUGACGCCUUUCGGGGUGUAAACUCCUUUCUGCGGAAGAUAAUGACGGUACCGCAGGAAUAAGCACCGGCUAACUACGUGCCAGCAGCCGAC
rnacentral:rRNA from 1 species